UACGGAGGGUGCAAGCGUUAAUCGGAAUUACUGGGCGUAAAGCGCACGCAGGCGGUCUGUUAAGUCAGAUGUGAAAUCCCCGGGCUUAACCUGGGAACUGCAUUUGAAACUGGCAGGCUUGAGUCUUGUAGAGGGGGGUAGAAUUCCAGGUGUAGCGGUGAAAUGCGUAGAGAUCUGGAGGAAUACCGGUGGCGAAGGCGGCCCCCUGGACAAAGACUGACGCUCAGGUGCGAAAGCGUGGGGAGCAAACAGG
rnacentral:rRNA from 2 species